GGAUUUCUUCACCAAUCCUUUCUUUGCCUUUCACUUUUCUCUUUUAUUUUUUCUUUUACUUCUGUUUUCCAAGAUCUUUCCACCGAUCUUCCAUGGCGGGAUUUUUCACCACCUCUCACGAAUGUUUGCUUGUUUGUCACUACACUCCUUCCAUAUCUCCUUACUUCCAAUUCGUCCUCUUUUCUCUGGUAAAUUAGGAUUUUUUUCGCUUUUAAUUGUUGAUUUUGGUGAAUUAGGGUUGUUUUAAUUGAUAUGGUAUUUUUUUUGUACGAGUUUAUUAAUUUGGUGAUGAGAUCAAAUCAUAUUGAUUUUCUCUUCAACAAUUUCGACAUUGGAUCCUAUCUAAGUCAUCUCAUUCCUUCGACUUGAAAGAAAUUUCAGAUUAGAGUUUACAAUUUCGAUCAUCUUAUCCUAUCCAAGCUAUCUCAUUCGUUUGAGUUCAAAGGAAUUUCAGGUACUUUCCAUCUAUGAAGGGGAAUUUUAGAUCUUUUGGUGCUAUUACUUUGGAGAAGUGUAGGCUGAUAUGACUCAGAAGAAAACUCUAUCUAUCCCUGAGAACGGGGGAUGGAAAAUGUGAGAUAAAGAAUCCGACUCAAGAAGAUUGCUUAUGUAACUGCAUGACAAGUGUCUUUCUCAAAGAGAAGGAGAGGGUUAAUCAAGAAAGCUCAGGAACUUUCAACUCUAUGUGAUGUUGUAAUUGGCCCUAUUGUCUUCUCUUCUAUUGGCAAGCUCGUUGAGUUUUCCAAUUCAAGAUUUCCAACAUUAACACGGACGUGAAGGAAGGAUGGAAAGUCUCAAAACUCCUCCAGGGAAAAGCAUUCUCCGCACCAAACAUGUUCUUAUCAAGCUUGGACAAGAUCUCUCUCCGAGUGCAAUUUCUUGCAGCUGAUGUCGUCGAAGAAUGAGUGAUUUCAUACAUCUCCCGUGUUUUGUCCAGCAUGCUCAACAUGUAUAUACCUUUUGGCUUGUUAAUGUGUUCCCGAUUCGUCUGUGACACCUUCAUUAUGUAGUUCUAAAUGGUUUCGUCUUACAUAUCAUGUGCAAAAUCUAACAUUAACAUAGUGUUUCCAACAAUUAUGGUGCUUUUAAACAUUUAUCGCAUCUCUUCUAUUUAGCACGAAACAAAUUUUUGUAACUUGGGGAUUGUUAGAAUCGAUGUCCAAAAGUAAGUUCUUCAGCAUCAUUGAUGAUUUGUUUGCAUUCA